rnacentral:lncRNA from 1 species
AUGUACUUUCUGACGAAGUACAUACUACUUACAGGUCUUACAGGUGAACCCUAUUCUUGCAUGCUCCCUUGUCAGGUCUUAUGUCUUCCAUGUCUUGUUUGUAGUCACUGUUUCAACGGGUACAGAUGGACCCCAUUGAGAAAGAGUGGCUGCGUUGUGCAGCGCUGGGAAACGCUACCACCCUGUACCUGCUUCUACAACAGGACCCUACACUUGUCUCCAAAAAGGACUUUGUCACCGUAAGUACAUGAGGACUCUACCUAUACCCCUUCAUCCCCGUACUCUUUGCUUCUGCUUCAUGCCACUAGAAAGAACUUGUGCAAACAGUUUGUCACUCUUUUGAUGUAAUUCUUAGUUUUACCCUUCUCUAUCUGUUGUCCGCAAUUAUACUCAAGUGUUGUUUCAAGAAGAUCAUCAAUUGUUAUCUGAGGCUGGUUGGGAUGGGAACUGUAGGCAGUGUUGUGAUACUCAAAAUACCAAAACUACCAACGUAACUACUAAUUUUAGUAGGGUAACAGUUUGUUUUCAAGCAGAGUAUCUUUCCCAUUAAAAAGUAAAAAAUUGUGCAAAACUAAUGGCAUAGAGAGAGUAAAAUUCAUUGGGAACACAGUUGUAAGCCCAAGUAUAUAUUUAAGCCUUAAAUGCCCAUCCUCUAUUUCAUAUUAACCAAUUUGAGAAACAUGAUCUCACAAAAUAAAGAAGCGGAAAAGUAUUUUUCGAGGUCGUGGUUUCAUACAAAUUUGUAAAUUGUGAAAAUGUACCAUUUGUGAUAAAAUGAAAGUAAACUUCAAACUGUACCUCUGACCCCACUCCUAAACCUAACCCUCCGUAGGGCGAGUAAGCUGUAUGAAAACGUGUGAAUGACAUUGCCAAAACAUAAUAUUUAUGAAUUGUAAUGCAACUGUGUUGAAAAUUGCAGUUCAUUUAAAUGAACCAGUUUUUUCGAAAUUUGAUCUUUUUGCUUAAUUUGUAUUGUAGUAGAAUGCGAAUACCUUCAAAACAGUUAACCACUUUUUAUUAGUAGCUUGUUCAUCGAGCUGAGUCAGUUCUGAUCGCAAUGAAAAGGAAGUCAAAAAAGCAGCAAGAUUGGGGGUAUUUAGAUGAAUGAUAUGCAUGUAUGAGUAGAGACUCCCACUGGUCAGUUGCAUCCAUCGCAAUGCUGUUGUUUACUAAAAUAUGACACCAGGGAAAUCAGAUUUGCAAACAAUAACAUCUAAGGGCUUGCUAAUCUUCUU